UUGAGGACUCUAGCGAGACUGCCUGGGUUAACCAGGAGGAAGGUGGGGAUGACGUCAAAUCAUCAUGCCCCUUAUGUGUAGGGCUACACACGUGCUACAAUGGCUGGUACAGAGAGAUGCAAUACCGCGAGGUGGAGCCAAACUUUAAAACCAGUCUCAGUUCGGAUUGUAGGCUGAAACUCGCCUACAUGAAGCUGGAGUUACUAGUAAUCGCGAAUCAGAAUGUCGCGGUGAAUACGUUCCCGGGUCUUGUACACACCGCCCGUCACACCAUGAGAGUUGGCAAUACCCGAAGUCCGUGAGCUAACCGCAAGGAGGCAGCGGCCGAAGGUAGGGUCAGCGAUUGGGGUGAAGUCGUAACAAGGUAGCCGUAGGAGAACCUGCGGCUGGAUCACCUCCUUUCUAAGGAA
rnacentral:rRNA from 1 species